ensembl:lncRNA
UUCUCCAGGGAAUCUUCCCAACCCAGAGAUCGAACCCAGGUCUCCCACACUGUAGGUGGAUUCUUUUCCAGCUGAGCCACAAGGGAAUCCAAGGGAAAUGUAGUGUCCUAUGAACCUGAAUCUUUCUCUGUGUAACUUGAAUAUCAUUAAGGCCCCCUGAAUCAUACAUCUGCUCUGAUCUCUCUUACUGCUCUAGCAGGCUCUGUGGCAAAAUAAAGAACACUUACCCAUCAAGAGACUAGAGCCUUACCUGUGCUUUUCUGGCAAGAGAUUUUUUUGUUCUCAUAAUUCUUUUUAAAGUGCCAAGAACUCACUUCCACUGGAUUAAAGAGAGCAAAAUUAUCUGCUUGAAUCAGGAGCAACUUGUGGGAAGAGAUCAGGGCUAUGAAGCCUGUUGGGAGAUCUGCAUUUAUAAGAAGAUGGCUUCGGCAAGGAUAAGUCAUAUCUUAACAUCUUAGUCUUAAGUGACAGAUAUGUUGCAAAGAAAAUGGAAGUGGAUGGAAUCAGUGCUGUGUCUUUUUUCCUGUGGCAGCAUUUCAGAAUAAUGUAUUGUAGCUCGAUUUUUGCUUGUGCUUCUUCCUUCAGUUAAUAUUAGAGUCAGAAGCCUGAUCAGACAUGGUGCUGUUUUUUUCUUUCUAAUCAAUGCUUGUGGACAGGUGAAAUCUGUGAGGAUUAAUAAAAUAAAAAAUCAUCUGCGAGUGAGGUGGCUGAAUUUUAUUUCAGUUGUUAAUGUUGUGAAUGCAGAUAUACUUGUUUUGUUACAGAGAUUCUGGGAAGCCAGUAUGCCCUUAGCUUUGUUUGGAAUUUUUUGUGGCAUCAAAAUUUUGUAUUUUAAUUUAGUCUUUAGCUUGUUAGCUGUCUUUCCUCUGCAAGUCUGAAAAGUCUGAGAGUUUUCUUUGCAGUUCUAACAAUUAAUUGAAAAAUAAAAUGAUGACUAUGUUUUGUUAGCUAAUGCAUCUUCUGCCAGCUUCUUGUAGCAAAUGGGAUUAUAAAAUCUUGCAUGUCCAGUUUAUAUUUCUUUCUCUGAACAAAUGAUUAACCAUGCCCAUAGAAUCCUAGAUAGUUUAAAAAUAACUGCCUCUCCAAUGUUUUGAAGGUUUGCCUAUGGGUUGCAAAGAAGGUACCAUAAGAAAUAAUUUUGGAUUGUGGAAUUUGUUUUUCUUUCAGGGGCUAUUCUGCAAUGAGACUGGGUUUUUCUGCUCCUUUCAGUGAUUCCACAAUGCCCUUAUUAAGACAAAGAGGCCUCUCUUAGGAUUCAUCUAAAAAAUUAUUGCAAGAUAAAGCAAGAACAAGGUUCCUCUUGCUCUGCUGAACAGUGAGGGGAGGCAGCUGUCAGAAGGACUGACACAUUUCUUUGCCCUAGAGCUGCACCAUCAAGCCGGAUAGCCAGUCGCCUCCUGUGGCUAUUGAAAUUUAAGACUAAAGUUCAUUUCCUCAGUCGCAUUAGCUCCUUGACAAGUGCUUGAUAGCUGCAUGUGGUUAUUGGCCAUCGUGUUGGACAGUGUAGAUAAGAACCUUUCUCUCAUGGCAGAAAGUCCUCUUGGAUAGCACUGCACAAGAGGUUAUUAUACUAAUUCACUUAUCCUCAGAUGUGGGGGGCGUAGUGCUGUUCUCAGUCUUAGAAUCACAGUAACCAGAAGAGAGACGGGAAAACAAAACACAAAAACGUGCUACACGGAAAAUUACCAUGGGCUGUUGAUGUGUUCUUGUCGCUAUAUGUGCUGCUAACAUUAGGAUUCUCCCCCCACCCCCAGUAUUAUUCNNNNNNNNNNNNNNNNNNNNNNNNNNNNNNNNNNNNNNNNNNNNNNNNNNNNNNNNNNNNNNNNNNNNNNNNNNNNNNNNNNNNNNNNNNNNNNNNNNNCUAUAUGUGCUGCUAACAUUAGGAUUCUCCCCCCACCCCCAGUAUUAUUCCUCCCAAAGAGAAGUCAUUAUGUAUAUUCAAGUUUAUUAGAAGUCUCCCAUAGAUCAGUCCCUCAGUUACUUUGAACAUCGAAACAGCCUUCAUGAAUGCUUGCUGAAUAUGCAGAGUCAGAUUCAAAAAGAGAGAGAGAAAUUUAACACAAGCUUAAUGAUUUAGGUAUGACCUCUAGAUGACAUGUUGGAUAUUAUUAAACACAAGCCUUUUUUAAUCCCUUAAAAUUUUUUUAUUGAAGAAAACUUGGUUUACAGUGUUGUGUUGGUUUCUGCUGUGCAGCACGGUGACUCAGUUAUACACAUAUACAUUCUUUUUCAUGUUCUGUUCCAUUAUGGUUUAUCACAGGAUAUUGAAUAUCAUCUGCUGUGCUGUACAGGAGGUCCUUGUUGCUUAUCUUUUCUGUAUGUACUAGUUUGCAUUUGCUAAUCCCAAGCUCCGUAUCCAUCUUUCCUCCACUCCUCCUCCCUCUUGGCAACCACAAGUCUGUUCUGUCUAUCUGCAAGUCUGUUUCUGUUUCAUGGUUAAGUUCAUUUGUAUCAUAGUUUAGAUUUGACAUAUAAGUGACAUGACACAGUAUUUGUCUUUUUGACUUACUUCCUUAGCAU